rnacentral:rRNA from 1 species
CAACCCUCAAGCUCAGCUUGGUAUUGAGUCUAUGUCAGCAAUGGCAGGCUCUAAAAUCAGUGGCGGCGCCGCUGGGUCCUGAACGUAGUAAUAUCUCUCGUUACAGGUUCUCGGUGUGCUUCUGCCAAAACCCGAWUUUUCUAUGG